AUUGAACGCUGGCGGCAGGCCUAACACAUGCAAGUCGAGCGAGCGGCGGACGGGUGAGUAAUGUAUGGGGACUGCCCGAUAGAGGGGGAUAACUACUGGAAACUGUGGCUAAUACCGCAUACUAUCGGAUAACCCAUAUGGGAUUAGCUAGUAGGUGGGUGAAAGGCUCACCGAGGCCACGAUCUCUAGCUGGUCUGAGAGGAUGAUCAGCCACAAUGGGACUGAGAGACGGCCCAGACUAGUAGGGAGGCAGCAGUGGGGAAUAUUGCACGAGGGGGGCAAGCCUGAUACAGACAUGCCGCGUGUAUGAAGAGGGACUUAGGGUUGUAAAGUACUUGGAGAGGGGAGGCGUUACACGCAGAAGAAGCACCGGCUAACUCCGUGCCAGCAGCCGCGGUAAUAC
rnacentral:rRNA from 1 species